UUUAAAGUAGGGUGUAACAAUUGCUAAAACUGGAAUGAUACAGAGAAGAUUAGCAUGAUCCCUACACAAGGAUGCCAUGCAAAUUUGUGAAGCAUUCUAAAUUUUU
ensembl:snRNA U6 U6 spliceosomal RNA